rnacentral:lncRNA from 1 species
UGCGUAUCCGACCGGGUUAGACGUUCCAUUAUGAGUUUAUUAUUAUUAAGGCUAUAUGCAUGAUAGGGUAAUGUCCGUUUAAUCUGAAGAUUUUAUAUGCUUCUUUAUCAUAUUUAUUACCUUGAUCCUCGUAUUGUAUUUAAAGUUUGUUUGAGACUCUUACUUCCAUCAUGUGCAUAUGUUAUGAGUGGUUGUGUACUAGUACAAUGUGAGAUAUGGUUUUGUNNNNNNNNNNNNNNNNNNNNNNNNNNNNNNNNNNNNNNNNNNNNNNNNNNNNNNNNNNNNNNNNNNNNNNNNNNNNNNNNNNNNNNNNNNNNNNNNNNNNNNNNNNNNNNNNNNNNNNNNNNNNNNNNNNNNNNNNNNNNNNNNNNNNNNNNNNNNNNNNNNNNNNNNNNNNNNNNUUGACGAAUUAAUUAUUUGAGUACAUAUAAGCACAAUCCUAGAUUAUGAUGAAGGAAUUUAAUCGGAUGGGUGUAAACAUUAAAAGAUAUAUGCGGUAUAAGUAGCGUAGCACCCUAUUCUUGCUUCACUGUUUUAUUUUAAAACGAACAUGUUAGCAGUAUGGGUGUUACAUGGUGGUAUCAGAGACCGGUUGUCUUCUGCAUUAUAGGUAUGCUACUUUCUCUCUUGGGGCGUCGCGAACCUCAAAAGAGUGGAGGUAUUCCAUACCCGUAUUUGUGAUGCAUUGUCCGUUGCACAUAGACAUCAUGAUUUGGAAUGGAUUUCUAAAAGUGAUUUUGAAAUUAAAGAGUCUUUGAAAGAGGAUCACUAAAGACCAUUCUUCUUAUAGUGUGCACCAGAUUCUUAAUCAAGGUGGAGGCAUUCAUAUGAACCCACCUCGAGCAGUGUUAGAUUAUAAGAGGAUGAAAGGUUAUGGAGGGAGGGAAUUUGAUGGGGAAAGCACAGAUCCACAAGUAGCUGUUGAUUGGAUUCGUGACAUGAACGCGGUGUUUGACCAGCUGGAAGCCACAUCGGAUGAGCGGCUUCGCUACUGUGUUUUCUUGCUUCGAGGGCAUGCUAGGACUUGGUGGGAGGCCACAACAGUGUAUGAAGAAGAUCCCUUCAGUUUGGGAUGGGAGGAGUUCCAAAUAAGAUUCGAUGCAGAAUUUAUCACUGAUCAGUGGAAAGAGAAAAAGGCGAUGGAAUUAAUGUCACUGAAGCAGGGAGAUAUGACAGUCCAGAAGUAUCAUAUCGAAUUUACUCGAUUAUCCAGAUGGCACCCUACCAUUGCAUCCGAGCGAAACACAAUUCUGAAGAAGCAUUUUCUGGCAGGGUUCCGAACAAAUAUUCAAAAAGAGAUCUCCAGUUCUGACAUGGCCAGCUGGAAGGAUAUUAAACAAGCUGCUCUAAGGGCCGAAUAUCUAGACAACAAGGGAAAGAAGGAAUGGGAAGAAAAUAAGGAGGAUCUAAAAAGAAAAGCGGUAAGUCAGAAUGUGAGCUACUCUAGACAGGGACCGAUGGCAAAACGGGGACCAACUAGAAUGUCUUAUCAAAGACCUGUUCAUAAUGUGUCACGACAGCAGACAUCAUACACACAAGCGCCAACACUAAUUUGUCAGCAUUGUGGGAGGAGGCAUUUUGGGACAUGCAGAAUAUUGACAAGGGGUUUUUGUAGAUGCGGGGAUCAGAGACAUCGACUCAAUAACUGUCCGUUGGUGGUUAAUCAAGCCCAAUCUGAGGUAUUGGUUCAGCAGAGUAAUAGAGCUUCAUCUGGCAGCGGGUUUAGAGGGAACCGAAAUAAUAGCUAUCAGGGGAGUAUGGGAUUCCAAGGAGGAAGAGGUACGGGAGCAAAUUCACGACCACUUGGUAGUCAAUCUCAACCCUCUGGUAAUUAACAAUCGGGAGGACAAGCGUAGGGCAGAGUAUAUGCCAUGAGUCGAGAGCAGGCUGAGUGUGCAACAGACGCGGUUAUGGGGGGGCUCUCGAUCCCUUGGGGGAGCACAUCUGUCCUCCAUGUGUUUUGUGUUAUGGGUACGCUCUCUAUCCUUGGACGUACCUUAUAUGCCUUAUUUGAUACUGGUUCCACACAUUCUUUCAUUUUCUGUCAAUUUGCACUAUUACUAAAAGUGGUACCUGAGGAGUUGGGGUAUAGUUUUGAGGUUAGAACUCCGGUGGGGAAAGUUGUGGAGAUAAAAUCAGUUAUUCGGAACAUUUUCUUAAACGUUGAAGGAGUUCCGCUAUCAGCAAAUUUAAUGUUGCUACCAUUUGACGAGUUUGAUGUAAUCCUCGGAAUGGACUGGUUAACUCAACAUGGGGCGGUGCUGAAUUGUCGAAGGAACGAAGUUAAGAUUAAACUUCCUGGAAAGAGGAAAAUUUUAUUUAAAGGCAUACAGAGAAAGGUACAUGAAAAGUCCCCAUUCUUGUAAGCUAUUCAAGCUUCCAAGCUUAUUCAGAAUGGAUGUGAAGGAUACCUUGGCCACGGCGAAGCAUACCUUACCCAUGUGACUGUGGAAAACACUGAGAAAAUUGAAGAGGUAGCUGUAGUAAGGGGAUUUUUGGAUGUAUUUCCUGAAGAAUUUCCAGGACUUCCUCCUGAAAGAGAGGUUGAUUUUGAUAUCGAGUUUGAACUGCACCCAUUUCGAUAGCACCAUAUAGAAUGGCACCAGUGGAGUUGGCGGAGCUGAAAAAGCAAUUACAGGAGCUCUUGGACAAAGGUUUCAUAAGACCGAGCGUCUCACCUUGGGGAGCACCCGUUUUGUUUGGAAAGAAGAAGGAUGGAUCAAUGAGGAUGUGUAUAGAUUAUCGUCGUCUAAACCAAGUGACAAUCAAGAAUCAGUAUCCUUUACCUAGGAUUGAUGACCUAUUUGACCAGCUUCAAGGUGCAUCGGUAUUUUCCAAGAUCGAUCUUAGAUCCGGCUACCAUCAACUGAGGGUUUCUGAAUUAGCCAUUCCUAAAAAAGCAUUUCGUACUUGUUAUGGACACUAUGAGUACUUAGUGAUGCCAUUUGGAUUGACUAAUGCACCAGCAACAUUUAUGGCACUCAUGAACAAGGUGUUCCAUGAAUUUCUUGACAAAUUUGUGAUAGUAUUUAUUGACGACAUCCUGAUAUACUCAAAAAGUGAAGAGGAGCAUGCAGAGCACCUUAGGAUGGUAUUGAAUCUCCUUAGGGAGAAGUAGUUAUAUGGUAAAUUUUCAAAGUGUGCCUUUGGGCUGAAGGAAGUUUUAUUCCUGGGUCACUUGAUAUCUGGAAAAGGGUUAGAGGUGGACCCAAGAAAGAUUGAAGCUGUGGUUAAGUGGGAGCCACCCCUCAAUGUGUCAGAACUACGGAGCUUCCUAGGUAUGGCUGGAUAUUAUCGAAGGUUUGUUGAGGGAUUCUCUAAAAUUGCUAUGCCUUUGACGAAGCUCCUGAGAAAGGGUACGACUUAUAGUUGGGAUAAGAAGUGCCAAGACAUGUUGGGAUAAGAAAUGCCAAGAUAGUUUUUAGAAGUUAAAGACUAGACUCACUACCACACCGGUACUCACUUUACCCACUUCUGGGGGUGAAUAUGUGGUGUAUAGUGACGCAUCCCAUCAGGGGUUGGGAUGUGUACUAAUGCAGGAUGGAAAAGUAAUUGCUUAUGCAUCAAGGAAACUACGACUCCAUGAGGUUAACUAUCCCACUCAUGAUCUUGAGUUAGCAGCAGUAGUUCAUGCCUUGAAAACGUGGCGUCACUACCUAUACGGUGAAACAUUUAAGAUUAUGACAGAUCAUAAGAGUUUGAAAUAUCUUAUGGAUCAGAAGGAACUAAAUAACCGGCAGAGGAGGUGGAUGGAGUUACUAAAGGAUUAUGAUUUUACCAUUGAUUACCAUCCUGGCAAAGCUAAUGUUGUGGCAGAUGCAUUGAGUAGAAAGGAGCGACUUCCAAAGUUGGUAGAUCUUCGAGCCUUAAGAGUGGACUUGGAAAUGGAUGAGAUGAAAACGUUGAUGGCUCGUUUGACUAUCAGACCUUUACUUCAUGAUCAAAUAAAAGAGAGGCAAAAAGAAGAUCCAAAACUUCAGAAGAUCAUGAACGAGAUAAAGGAGGGACAUGAAAGCGAGUUUGAGAUCUCGGACGGCUUGCUGAAGAUAAAGGGUAAGACCCGAGCUUCACCUCACAUUUUUGGAAAAGUUUGCAUUAGGCUUUGGGGACAAGAUUGAACUUUUCUAUGGCAUAUCAUCCACAGACUAAUGGACAAACAGAGAGAACUAUACUCACGUUGGAGGAGGUUUUGCAAACCUGUGUAAAUGAGUUUGAUAGACCUUGGACAAAGUUGUUACUAUUGAUAGAGUUUGCUUAUAAUAACUCUUACCAUAGUAGUCUGGGUACAGCUCCGUAUGAGGCAUUGUACGGACGAAAGUGUAGAACUCCGUUGUGUUGGGAUGAAGAGGGAGAAAGACAAAUAACUGGGCCAGAGUUAGUUCAGGAAAUAUCUGAUAAGGUUUCAGGAAAAACUCAGAGUGGCUCAGGAUCGUCAGAAGCAGUAUGCAGAUCGUCGAACUCGUGAUAUCAGUUAUGAGGUCGGGGAAAAGGUUUUUCUUAAGGUAUCUCCUUGGAAAGGUCUAAUGUGAUUUAGGAGAAAAGGAAAGCUAGCUUCGAGGUAUAUUGGACCUUAUGACAUUAUAGGUAAAGUAGGACCAGUUGCUUAUGCCCUUGCUUUACUAACCGAACUGGAUAGAAUCCAUAACGUGUUUCAUGUGAGUCUGCUUAAAAAGUAUCAUGUGGAUCCAUCUCAUAUUGUCCAACCGGAGGAGGUAGAGUUGGAGGGAGAUUUAUCAUAUCAGGAAAUGCCAGUUCAGAUUGUAGAUUCGCAAGUUCGAUCCUUGCGAAAUAAGCAGAUCCCUAUGUUGAAAGUGGUAUGGAGAAAUCAGGAGAGUGAGUCUACUACAUGGGAGACAGAAGCAAGUAUGCGAGAGAAGUACCCUGAGCUAGUAGAGGCUUACUUAUCAGGUUAAGUUAUUACUAGUUUCUUCAUUGACAUGUUGUGAUCACUUAGCGUAGGUUAUAUACUUAAAAUUUGGAAGACCGUACAUGUUACGUGUUACUUGUGAAUGAAGGAAUAGUAAAUAGUUAUAUUCUAAACAAGCUAGUAGAGAGAUUAGGACCUAGAUUUCGAGGACGAAAUAUCUUAAGAGGGGAGGAAUUGUAACAUUCCGACCCGAUGUACCAAAAGUACCAACUAAAUUAAUGUGGUACGUGGUAAUGUACAGAUACAGAAAAUAAUUUCCAUACAGAUAUGGAUAUGUAUGCAACAUUCCGGCCCGAUCGUAAAGAAACACCGACCAAAUUAAUUUGGAACAAGCUAUGGUCCAGGUUCAUGAUAAGCAUGGAUCCUUAUGCACUUGUACGUAGUACACCUUAUAUAAUUAAUUGAUCAUAUUUCAUGCAUAUCAAUUAUCACCAUCACUAGAUGGACGUGGCAAGUUUUGGGGGAGGGUUUUUCAUAUUGCAUGCAUGGAGAAUGUUUUUCACAGAGUGUAAGAAGUGACUAGAUUCCUAAAUAUCUAUGCUGCUACUAAUGGACAAAGUAAAUUGGGAAGAAUGGACAUAUUAGGGAGUUUAGUUUUGGAGGCAGGUACAAGUAGUGGUAUGCCCCCAUUUCCACUAUAUAAAAGGGGUUAAGGUAUUCAGCUUCAUACAGGGAAAUACAGGGAUAGCUUGCACUAAAACAAAUGCGAUACUCAGAAAAAGCUAGUACUUGGUUUGUUAUAACAAUCUUUGGAAUUACGUUAUCGACUCAGAAGCCUAUAUUGGUAAUCUCAAGAAUUAUUUCCGGUGAGGGUCUCCUGCGUAUCUGACCGGGUUAGACGUUCCAUUAUGAGUUUAUUAUUAUUAAGGCUAUAUGCAUGAUAGGGUAAUGUCCGUUUAAUCUUAAGAUUUUAUAUGCUUCUUUACCAUAUUUAUUACUUAAUAUGAUACAUGUUCUGUUACUUUGCUGAUAUAUCUGAUUUAAUAUAAGUGUUAAUAUGAGCUGUAGCUAUUAUUGAUUAUUGAAUAAAUCUGGUAAUUGAUUGAUCACCUAGCUAGGGCCC